GGUGGGUCAGCGACGUGGUCAGCGCGUUUGGCUUUUACCCGGGAGUUUGGGGUUCAACUCCCCGCCCGGGCCC